rnacentral:rRNA from 1 species
UACGAAGGGGGCUAGCGUUGUUCGGAAUUACUGGGCGUAAAGGGCGCGUAGGCGGCGUGUCAAGUCAGGCGUGAAAGCCCCGGGCUCAACCUGGGAACCGCGCUUGAGACUGGCAUGCUCGAGUUCGGGAGAGGAUGGUGGAAUUCCCAGUGUAGAGGUGAAAUUCGUAGAUAUGGGGAGGAACACCGGUGGCGAAGGCGGCCAUCUGGACGGUGACUGACGCUGAGACGCGAAAGCGUGGGGAGCAAACAGG